rnacentral:rRNA from 1 species
GACGAACCUUGCUAACGUUAUUCGGAAUUACUGGGCUUAAAGGGUGCGUAGGCGGUGCGGAAAGUCGGGUGUGAAAUCCCCCCAGCUCAACUGGGGGAAUUGCGCCUGAAACUACCGUGCUCGAGGAAGACAGAGGUACGCGGAACUUAGGGUGGAGCGGUGAAAUGCGUAGAGAUCGGAAAGAACACCAACGGCGAAAGCACUCUGCUGGGCCGACACUGACACUGAGAGACGAAAGCUAGGGGAGCGAAUGGG